rnacentral:rRNA from 1 species
CCCGAAAGGUCGAAGGCGGAGAUUCAACUGUCUGAUCGUAUUGUGUCGGCGUCGUCGGGGCGCAAAUUUUGCCAAACUGAGACGAUGGCGCGCGUGCGUUUUCUCGUAAAGCGUACCGCGUUUCGCUCGGCCCCGACGCACGAGACCUGACCGCGAAGGCAUGCACUUCUCCGUCUGUAGGACGUCGCGACCCGUUGGGCGUCGGUCUAAGGCCCGUCGUGGCGACUGUUCUCGCGCUUCGGCGCCGAGUGGCAGACCGACGGUGUUAUCUUUCCCGGCCGUGCGCCCGACGGUAUAAUCGAACGGACGGCGUUGGGUCGCGUCACUCGUGACGCGUUCGAUCGUCCGCAAGUGCGUGCGCGUCAGUCGAUUUCGUAUCGCCGGCGGUCGGACCUGGUGCCGGCCCCGGACGCGCAUCACUGUUUGCGUUGUGCGAAACUCGAACAGGCCCGAGUCGCGCGCCUCACGGCGCGCGACGCGCCGCGUCGGCGACGCUAUAGCUUUGGGUACUUUCAGGACCCGUCUUGAAACACGGACCAAGGAGUCUAGCAUGUGCGCGAGUCACUGAGAUUUACACUAGACUCAAAGGCGCAAUGAAAGUGAAGGCACGUCGAAUCGACGGUAGCCGAGGGAGGAUCGGUCGCGCUUCCGUCAAACGAACGCGCGGCCGCGCACUCCCGGGGCGUCUCGUUCUCAUUGCGAGUUGGAGGCGCACCCAGAGCGUACACGCUGGGACCCGAAAGAUGGUGAACUAUGCCUGGUCAGGACGAAGUCAGGGGAAACCCUGAUGGAGGUCCGUAGCGAUUCUGACGUGCAAAUCGAUCGUCGGAACUGGGUAUAGGGGCGAAAGACUAAUCGAACCAUCUAGUAGCUGGUUCCCUCCGAAGUUUCCCUCAGGAUAGCUGGCGCUCGCGUUCGCACGGUGCGCGUUUACGCGCGCGCCGUUCGCGUUCACGAGUCUCAUCUGGUAAAGCGAAUGAUUAGAGGCCUUGGGGCCGAAACGACCUCAACCUAUUCUCAAACUUUAAAUGGGUGAGAUCUCCGGCUUGCUCGAAUUGCAAUUUUUUAUGAAGCCGCGAGAUAAUUAUGGAUCGAGAGUGCCAAGUGGGCCACUUUU